UCAGGGGACGCAUCCUUCGUAGACCGCGUCCUUCGAAGGAUGCGGUCUACGUAGACCGCGAAGGACACUCCGAAGGCCGAAGAAAUGGGACGGUCUAGCUUUCGGAGCAUUUCCGGUUUACGUAACAAACCGUUACCGCCCUUUACCUUGCGUGACCACCACGCGCUGCUCCUGUCACCGCCACCCUGACAGCUGACCUGACCGUAAACAGCAGUUAUACCGGACAGCGCGAAAAAAACAAAACAAAGAAACCCAAUAAACCAACAAAAAUGGAGCCAGAAAUCAUAAUUUUAUUUUGUAUCUUUUAUCUUUAUUUGGAGGAGUUGGGGAAUACUCACCGCCGGAGCCGACGGGGGAUAUAUCUUCGGCUCCGAGCAAGAGACGACCACAGAUUGCCCAGACCCGUGUACUGCCGGAUCAAUCCGACUGUUCCUGUCCUGGACCGUUAUUUUAAUGGCCAGGACACCAAAACGGAUUUCCGAUUGGGCAGGGAGGCCCUGGCAGUGCUGCUGGACCUUCUCGGCCAGGAGCGGAGACAUGGAUGGGGUGCCACCAUUGAGACCCUGGUGUUUCUAUUCUGGCUGGCUAGUGGGACAUCAUACAGGGUGGUCUCCAGAGUGUUCGGGAUGCCUCGUUCCACUGUCCACCGCAUCGUCCACAGGGUCACUGAGGAGGUGGUGGCCAUUCGCCACAAAGUCAUCCACCUCCCGAAGACCCCUGAAGACCUGGCGGCAG